AACGAACGCUGGCGGCAGGCUUAACACAUGCAAGUCGAACGCCCCGCAAGGGGAGUGGCAGACGGGUGAGUAACGCGUGGGAACGUACCUUUCAGUUCGGAAUAACUCAGGGAAACUUGUGCUAAUACCGGAUACGCCCGCAAGGGGAAAGAUUUAUCGCUGAAAGAUCGGCCCGCGUUGGAUUAGCUAGUUGGUGGGGUAAAGCCUACCAAGGCGACGAUCCAUAGCUGGUCUGAGAGGAUGAUCAGCCACACUGGGACUGAGACACGGCCCAGACUCCUACGGGAGGCAGCAGUGGGGAAUAUUGGACAAUGGGCGCAAGCCUGAUCCAGCCAUGCCGCGUGUGUGAUGAAGGCCUUAGGGUUGUAAAGCACUUUCACCGAUGAAGAUAAUGACGGUAGUCGGAGAAGAAGCCCCGGCUAACUUCGUG
rnacentral:rRNA from 1 species